rnacentral:rRNA from 1 species
UACGUGGGGGCAAGCGUUGUCCGGAAUCAUUGGGCGUAAAGAGCGUGUAGGCGGCCCGGUAAGUCCGCUGUAAAAGUCAAAGGCUCAACCUUUGAAUGUCAGUGGAUACUGCCGGGCUAGAGUCCGGAAGAGGCGAGUGGAACUCCUGGUGUAGCGGUGGAAUGCGCAGAUAUCAGGAAGAACACCAACGGCGAAGGCAGCUCGCUGGGACGGUACUGACGCUGAGGCGCGAAAGCGUGGGGAGCAAACAGG